ACCCAUCUACGGAAGGCAGAAAUUGCCCAACCCGACUCGGGGAGGCAGUGANNAGAAAACANCUCUAGCUUAUGCUAGAAGGUAAUGAGGAUAAUUUACAAACCUUACCGAAUGCAAUUGGAGGGAAGAAGGUGCCAGCAGCCGCGGU
rnacentral:rRNA from 1 species